CGUGCCUCAGCUUGUGGAUUCAUUUGCCAGGUAAAGGACAUUUGGGUUGUUCCUAGUUUUCAGAUUCCUGUACAAGUUUCUUGUUUUUGCUUUUGUUUGUGAAUCCUGAUGGCACAGAGAUGAUAAUCACAUAUCAUGCAAACUCCAAUCAUCAUAUUCCAGUCUGCCCUCCAAAAGGAGGAACAGGUAAAGAAGAUCCCACCUGACACUCUUCAUGUACAGUCUUGAUGUGAAUGAAAGUUUCCAGUUCUCCUGGGUAAAUACCUACAAGUGGGAUUGCUGGAUUAUAUGGAAUUCACUGAAGUGGAAUUAUUGGAUCAAGGUUAUAAUAAUUUCAGGGCAAAAGUGGAGAAAAUGGACAUGUGUUAUUUUUUAAAGCUUUGCCUAUUUGAAAAACGCACGUGAUGCUGGUUGAUAGCAUUUCACCCAGAGUAGAACUUCUUUCAAAACUGGAAUCCCUCCUCUCAAACCCUCUGCUGCUUUAUCAACUGACUUUAUGUAAUAUUCUGAAUCCUAUGUUGUCAUUUCAACAGUCUUCACAGCACCUUCACCAGGAGUAGUUUUAUCUCAAGAAAAUACUUUCUUUGCUCACCCACAAGAAGCCGCUCCUUGUCUGUUCCAGUUUAAUCCCAAGAUGGCAGCGGUUCAGUUACGUCCUCAGCGGCCAUUUCCAACUCCAGUUCUCUUGCUAUUUCCACCACAUGUGCAGUGACUUCCUCUCCUGAAGUCUUCAACCUCUCAAAGUCAUCCGUGAGGAUUGGAGUCAACUUCUCCCAAACCCUUCUUAAUGUUGACAUUUUUACUUCUUCCCAUGAAUAACCAAUGUUCUUAGUGGCAUCUAAAAUGGUGAAUCCUUUCCAGAAGGUUUUCAAUGGACUUUGCCAAGGUGCAUCAGAGAAAUCACUAUCAUGGCAGUCUUACAACAUGUAUUUUUAAAAAAUAAAACUUGAAAGAUGACAUAACUCCUUGAUCCAUAGGCUGCAGAAUGGAUGUUGUGUCAGCAGCCAUGAAAAUAUUAAUCCCAUUGUCUAUCAGAGCUCACAGGUGACCAGGUGCAUUGUCAAUAAGAAGUCAUAUUUUGAAAGGAAUCUUUUUUUCUGAGCAGUAGGCUUAAAAUAGCCAAUAAACUAUGUUGGAAACAGAUGUGCUGUCAUCCAGGCUUUGUUGUUCCAUUUAGGGAACACAGGCAGAGGCAGAGUAGAUUUACCAUAACUCUUAAGGGCUCUAGGAUUUACAGAAUGGCAAAUGAUUUAAAGACUUCAAUUUAAAGUCCCCAGCUGCAUUAGCUCCUAACAAGAGAGUCAGCAUGUCCUUUGAAGCUUUGAAGUCAGGCACUGACUUUUCUUUUCUAGCUGUGAGAGUCCUAGAUGGCAUCUUCUUCCAAUAGAACGUUUCUUCAUCUGCACUGAAAUUCCGUUGCUUAGUGUAGCCACCUUUGUAAAUUAUCUUUGCUUAGACCUUCUGGAUAACUUGCUGCAGUUUCUACAUCAGCAUUUGCUGCUUCACUUUGCAUUUUUAUGUGAUGGAAGUGGCUUCUUUCCUUAAACCUCAAACCAGCCUCUGCUAGCUUCCAACUUUU